rnacentral:rRNA from 1 species
UGGGGAAUAUUGCACAAUGGGCGAAAGCCUGAUGCAGCGACGCCGCGUGAGUGAAGAAGGUCUUCGGAUCGUAAAACUCUGUCCUUGGUGACGAAAGAAUGACGGUAGCCAAGGAGGAAGCCCCGGCUAACUACGUGCCAGCAGCCGCGGUAAUACGUAGGGGGCGAGCGUUGUCCGGAUUUACUGGGCGUAAAGGGUGAGUAGGCGGUUAUAUAUGUCAGAUGUAAAAGGCACAGGCUUAACUUGUGUAAGCAUUUGAAACUGUAUAACUUGAGUGCAGGAGAGGUAAGUGGAAUUCCUAGUGUAGCGGUGAAAUGCGUAGAUAUUAGGAGGAACACCAGUGGCGAAGGCGACUUACUGGACUGUAACUGACGCUGAGUCACGAAAGCGUGGGUAGCAA